CCCUUAGAUGUCCUGGGCCGCACGCGCGCUACACUGAGUGUCUGAGAUACGAGUCUGCCUAGCCGGCGAGGUCUAGGUAAUCGCUGAAAGACACAUCAUGCUUGGGAUAGAUUAUUGCAGAUAUUAAUCUUGAACGAGGAAUUCCUAGUAAGCGCAAGUCAACAGCUUGCGUUGAUUACGUCCCUGCCCUUUGUACACACCGCCCGUCGCUACUACUGAUUGGAUGUUUAAGCGAGGUUCUCGAACUGCUAGCGACUUAGCUUCGGUGAGGUCGCCGUGUGGGAAGUGAACCUAGCGUUGGUGUCUAGAGGAAGUAAAAGUCGUAUCA
rnacentral:rRNA from 1 species